rnacentral:rRNA from 1 species
GAUGAACGCUGGCGGCGUGCCUAAUACAUGCAAGUCGAGCGAACAGACGAGGAGCUUGCUCCUCUGACGUUAGCGGCGGACGGGUGAGUAACACGUGGAUAACCUACCUAUAAGACUGGGAUAACUUCGGGAAACCGGCGCUAAUACCGGAUAACAUGUUGAACCGCAUGGUUCAACAGUGAAAGACGGUUUUGCUGUCUCUUAUAGAUGGAUCCGCGCCGCAUUAGCUAGUUGUUAAGGUAACGGCUUACCAAGGCAACGAUGCGUAGCCGACCUGAGAGGGUGAUCGGCCACACUGGAACUGAGACACGGUCCAGACUCCUACGGGAGGCAGCAGUAGGGAAUCUUCCGCAAUGGGCGAAAGCCUGACGGAGCAAGGCCGCGUGAGUGAAGAAGGUCUUCGGAGCGUAAAACUCUGUUAUUAGGGAAGAACAAAUGUGUAAGUAACUAUGCACGUCUUGACGGUACCUAAUCAGAAAGCAACGGCUAACUACGUG